rnacentral:lncRNA from 1 species
GCUCUCCUCUCCUACUAAGCUUUGUUUCCUGGCAAUAAUUAAAACCUUCUGCCACUGCCAUAGCUACUGCUGCUGCUGGAACCGUCAUAGCCACUUUGGUUUCGUGGUUUGGCAAAGUACUGACCUCCACCACUACAGGGCUAGAGCUUCUGCCUCCAAAUUUCCUCCUUCCAUGGGUUCAGAACUUGAAGAUUGUUUGCUGUAAUUGCCAAAAUCAUUAUAGCUUCUGCCACCUCCAGAAUUGCUUCCAUCAUUACCAAAUCCGUUACAGCCGUCCCCACUGCCACCAAAGCCACCUUGCCCACUGAAGUUUCCUCCACAGCCAAAGUCCCACCUAAACCACUUCCACGACCACCACCAAAGUUUCCAGAAAGAACCUCUUUGACCUCUUUGGCUGGAUGAAGCACUAGCCAUCUCUUGCUUAGAUAGGACUUCCCUUUCUUCAUAGUUGUGGCUAUUCACAGUGUAGUACUUUUGAAUGAUAGUCUUGUCUACAAAGUCACGAUCAUCAGAUGUUACAAAAGCAAAGCUUCUCUUCUUGCCACUGUCCUCAAUCAGUCAUGAUUUCAGUCACUUCAAUUUUCCCAUACUUUUCAAAAUAAUCUCUUAGAUGAUGUUCUUCAGUGUUUAAUGCCACCAACAAAAACCGUUUCCACAGUUAAGUGGGCACCAGGUCUUUGAGAAUCUUCUCUUGAAACAGCCCUCUUGGCCACAACUCUUCCAUCCACCUUGUGUGACCCUGCAUUCAUGGCUGCAUCCACCUCCUCCACAGUGACAAACCCAAGGUCUCUGGAGUGCUCGGUGUUUGGAUCCCUUGUUACCACAGCGUGUGAGCGUUCCCCAUUGCUAAGAAUGGCUCCUCAGUCUCUCAUCUGUUGUUCCAAAGCUCAAACCUCCAGUGAAGAGCUUCCACAGCUGUUCAGUCUCUUUGGGAGACUCUGACUUAGGACGGUGGUGGAGUGGGGGGGCUUUAAUGACGCCUCCUCGGCUGCAUCCACGGGCAGAAA